AGUUGAUCCGAGGGUUAUUGUGGGUUAUUGUUAAGCUGAUUUAACAUUGUCUCUCCUACAACUAUGCUUGACUAGCUGUUA
rnacentral:Y_RNA from 1 species